UACGAAGGGUGCAAGCGUUAAUCGGAAUUACUGGGCGUAAAGCGUGCGUAGGCGGUACGUUAAGUCUGCCGUGAAAGCCCUGGGCUCAACCUGGGAACGGCGGCGGAUACUGGCGUGCUGGAGUGCGGUAGAGGAGGGUGGAAUUCCCGGUGUAGCGGUGAAAUGCGUAGAGAUCGGGAGGAACAUCAGUGGCGAAGGCGGCCCUCUGGACCAGCACUGACGCUGAGGCACGAAAGCGUGGGGAGCAAACAGGGAUUAGAUACCCUGGUAGUCCACGCCCUAAACGAUGCGAACUGGAUGUUGGGCACAUUACGGUGCUCAGUGUCGAAGCUAACGCGUUAAGUUCGCCGCCUGGGGAGUACGGUCGCAAGACUGAAACUC
rnacentral:rRNA from 1 species